rnacentral:rRNA from 1 species
UACGGAGGGGGCUAGCGUUGUUCGGAUUUACUGGGCGUAAAGGGCGCGUAGGCGGCCACCGCAAGUCGACUGUGAAAUCUCUGGCUUAACCCAGAAAGGUCAGCCGAUACUGCGGGGCUAGAGUGCAGAAGGGGCAACUGGAAUUCUCGGUGUAGCGGUGAAAUGCGUAGAUAUCGAGAGGAACACCUGCGGCGAAGGCGGGUUGCUGGGCUGACACUGACGCUGGAGGCGCGAAAGCUAGGGGAGCGAACGGG